UUAAUUGUUUUGCCAUCUUGUUCCACAGUCCUAAUUUU
rnacentral:sRNA from 1 species